AAGGUUCGACUCGAGCGAAGCGAGAGAACGUUGCCGCAGGCAACGGCCCGAAGGGCGAGGCGCUUUAGCGCCGAGUAAUCCUUCCCCCACCACCA
rnacentral:sRNA from 1 species